GCCAGGCGUAGUGGUGCACGCCUGUAAUCCCAGCAGCCCAGGAGGCUGAGGCAGGAGGAUCAUGCGUCCAAAGCCAGCCUCAGCAAUGGCAAAGCACUAAGCAAUUCAGUGAGAACCUGUCUCUA
rnacentral:sRNA from 1 species